rnacentral:rRNA from 1 species
GACGAACGCUGGCGGCGUGCUUAACACAUGCAAGUCGAACGGAAAGGCCCUGCUUUUGUGGGGUGCUCGAGUGGCGAACGGGUGAGUAACACGUGAGUAACCUGCCCUUGACUUUGGGAUAACUUCAGGAAACUGGGGCUAAUACCGGAUAGGAGCUCCUGCUGCAUGGUGGGGGUUGGAAAGUUUCGGCGGUUGGGGAUGGACUCGCGGCUUAUCAGCUUGUUGGUGGGGUAGUGGCUUACCAAGGCUUUGACGGGUAGCCGGCCUGAGAGGGUGACCGGCCACAUAGGGACUGAGAUACGGCCCAGACUCCUACGGGAGGCAGCAGUGGGGAAUAUUGCACAAUGGGCGGAAGCCUGAUGCAGCAACGCCGCGUGCGGGAUGACGGCCUUCGGGUUGUAAACCGCUUUCGCCUGUGACGAAGCGUGAGUGACGGUAAUGGGGAAAGAAGCACCGGCUAACUACGU